UGGCUGACGAGUGGCGCACGGGUGAGUAACGCGUAUGCAACCUACCUUUCACAGUGGGAUAGCCCAGAGAAAUUUGGAUUAAUACCGCAUAGUAUACAGGACCAGCAUUGGACCUGUAUUAAACAUUUAUGGGUGAGAGAUGGGCAUGCGUUCUAUUAGUUAGUUGGUAAGGUAACGGCUUACCAAGACAGCGAUAGAUAGGGGCCCUGAGAGGGGGAUCCCCCACACUGGUACUGAGACACGGACCAGACUCCUACGGGAGGCAGCAGUGAGGAAUAUUGGACAAUGGGCGCAAGCCUGAUCCAGCCAUGCCGCGUGCAGGAAGACGGCCCUAUGGGUUGUAAACUGCUUUUAUACAGGAAGAAACAACUCUACGUGUAGAGUCUUGACGGUACUGUAAGAAUAAGGAUCGGCUAACUCCGUGCCAGCAGCCGCGGUAAUACGGAGGAUCCAAGCGUUAUCCGGAAUCAUUGGGUUUAAAGGGUCCGUAGGUGGACAAUUAAGUCAGAGGUGAAAUCCUGCAGCUCAACUGUAGAAUUGCCUUUGAAACUGGUUGUCUUGAAUCAUUAUGAAGUGGUUAGA
rnacentral:rRNA from 1 species